AACGCACUUCCCUUUGGAGUGU
rnacentral:miRNA from 1 species